UACGGAGGAUGCGAGCGUUAUCCGGAUUUAUUGGGUUUAAAGGGAGCGUAGACGGGAUGUCAAGUCAGCUGUGAAAGUUUGCGGCUCAACCGUAGAAUUGCAGUUGAAACUGGCGUUCUUGAGUGCGUUCGAGGCAGGCGGAAUUCGUGGUGUAGCGGUGAAAUGCAUAGAUAUCACGAAGAACCCCGAUUGCGAAGGCAGCCUGCCAGGCCGCAACUGACGUUGAAGCUCGAAAGUGCGGGUAUCAAAC
rnacentral:rRNA from 1 species